AUGCCUAUGUCAAAAGUGGCGGUGGAUCGAUCCGAAGGUUAUGCUGCCAUUCAUGUUGGGAAAAAAUCCAUAGCCACCUUCUCCAACCGCGUACACACCACCUUGAACAACGGUUGGUGCUCAGGACGUCGUAGCGUAAACCAUAUGCGAAGGGAGUGCAUACAACGGAACAUAGCCUUUAGAGGAGAGGCUUUUUUAUCAUUCAAAAGCAAAUCAUUUCUAGAUAGGCAAAGCGACCAAAGUAAGCCAUACUCUCCCACCCUUAUUAGCAUUCUGGACCUAAUUGGAAUACCGUCCAACCAAAUAUUGGCAACUUAUGGGCGGAUACAAAUUUGA
rnacentral:rRNA from 1 species